GACGAACGCUGGCGGCGUGCUUAACACAUGCAAGUCGAACGGAAAGGCCCUGCUUUUGUGGGGUGCUCGAGUGGCGAACGGGUGAGUAACACGUGAGUAACCUGCCCUUGACUUUGGGAUAACUUCAGGAAACUGGGGCUAAUACCGGAUAGGAGCUCCUGCUGCAUGGUGGGGGUUGGAAAGUUUCGGCGGUUGGGGAUGGACUCGCGGCUUAUCAGCUUGUUGGUGGGGUAGUGGCUUACCAAGGCUUUGACGGGUAGCCGGCCUGAGAGGGUGACCGGACACAUUGGGACUGAGAUACGGCCCAGACUCCUACGGGAGGCAGCAGUGGGGAAUAGUGCACAAUGGGCGGAAGCCUGAUGCAGCAACGCCGCGUGCGGGAUGACGGCCUUCGGGUUGUAAACCGCUUUCGCCUGUGAUGAAGCGUGAGUGACGGUAAUGGGUAAAGAAGCACCGGCUAACUACGUG
rnacentral:rRNA from 1 species